rnacentral:rRNA from 1 species
UACGAAGGGGGCUAGCGUUGCUCGGAAUCACUGGGCGUAAAGCGCACGUAGGCGGAUUGUUAAGUCAGGGGUGAAAUCCUGGGGCUCAACUCCAGAACUGCCUUUGAUACUGGCAAUCUCGAGUUCGGGAGAGGUGAGUGGAACUGCGAGUGUAGAGGUGAAAUUCGUAGAUAUUCGCAAGAACACCAGUGGCGAAGGCGGCUCACUGGCCCGAUACUGACGCUGAGGUGCGAAAGCGUGGGGAGCAAACAGG